rnacentral:misc_RNA from 1 species
ACAUCCUCAACCUGCUUGGUUUUUUGUUCUCAAACCCAAGUAGGCUUGGAAUUUGGAGGUUUUCUGCUGGCCUCCUCCGAAGCCAGCUCCUCUUAAAUCUAUUAGUGGGAUCCGCUUUGCCAGAUCCUCGACGUUGAUAAGAUGUUUCUACGUCUUGGGUUUUGCUCGCGAAGGACCUGCUUCUAACCGUCCCACCGGGGACAAUGUUUGAGCCGAUCGCCCCUUCACCGGGUCGAGAAGCUUUCGACCCAUGAAA